rnacentral:rRNA from 1 species
ACGAACCGUACGAACGUUAUUCGGAAUCACUGGGCUUAAAGGGUUCGUAGGCGGCCAUGUAAGUGAGGUGUGAAAUCCCUCGGCUCAACCGAGGAAUGGCGCUUCAUACUGCAUGGCUUGAGGGAGACAGGGGUAAGCGGAACUGAUGGUGGAGCGGUGAAAUGCGUUGAUAUCAUCAGGAACACCGGUGGCGAAAGCGGCUUACUGGGUCUCUUCUGACGCUGAGGAACGAAAGCUAGGGGAGCGAACGGGA